CUGGUGUGAGGUCAAUGAUUUUGUUCUUCAUUCCUAACCAUGUCAUUGGUGGGCUAAGCAUGGGCACAUUUACACAUUUCUAUGAAAAUUCACUUUAAGAUGGGCACUCACAUCUUAAGAAUCCCGCAUUUUUUAUGUCAGUGACAUUUUAUAAGCAUUAUGCUGCCCAAGUGUUUGUGAUCUUUAAAAUGUAGCCUAUGAUAAAAUAUAGUUUAAUGAAAGAAUCAGGUGCCUUUUAGGUAUUAUUUUGUAAUUAAAUAGAUGGUCAUGUUUAUCUUCUCUGACAAAAUUAUUAUGUACUUUGUAUGACUCUAAUUCUUUAUCCUGAAGUUAUUUUUCCAGUGGAGUUUGAGGCUAGAUGGAGUAUGAAGAUAAUGGGGCAUUUUACCAUAACCAGGGAGACGUGAUACAAAUUUGAGAGACACUGACGUGGACCAUAUAUUUUAUGCCUUCAACCACUGUUCAGCCAAUACCCUCUAAAUCCUUUGUUCUAUUUUUCUGCUUCAUUUGCUGAGGAAAAUGGCAAGCUGGGACCAAGCCUGAGGAACUAACAACCUGUACACUUAACGAUGCCUUUCCCUGGAUCUAGUGUAAUAAUUUCAACCAUCCACAGGUCAUUAUGGAGUCAUUUUUCUCUUCAAAUUCAAUGUGUUCAAAUCAGAACUCAUCAUCUUCUGUACUUCCUAUUCUAGUCACCAAGUACAGAAAUCUGACGGUCAUACCAUGUGUAUGCUGCUCUUUAUUUCUGUUUCCCAAUUAUUUUCCAAAAGAAAAGUUUUAUAUUCUUAAAUCUAGAAUAUCAUCUUUCUUGUCCAAUAGGCAACUGUUUCACAUUAGUUCAUGUCCUUAUCAUUUUAUGAAUGAAUUCAUAUGAAAUGAUAUUGAAAUUGGUUUUUCUUUCCUGCAGCUGUUUUGCUCUCAAUUCAUUUCUAGGAGGUAAACCUGGUCAUGUUACCACCCUACUUAAAUUCUCCCAUCUGAAAUUCAAAUCUGCACCAAUGGAAAUAAUGCCUGUGAAUGUGCGCAGACUUUCUCUCAGCGACUCUCCUCCGUGUUUCCCACAUGCCCAUGCCUUUGCCUGCCUGCUCACUCUUCUCAGAAAACCUUCCUCUCUCUCUCCCCAUCCUUGUUUUAGGAUUUAAGUCCCAUUCACACCUUUGCUCAGACACCACCUUCUCUUGGAAUCUUUUCCUAAUAGCACUUUUAUCACCAAGCUUCUCUGCUCUGAGGCACCAUGGGUAUAGCUCUACCCCUGCAUAGUAACUUUGCUCAUUUCUUUAUAUUUCCAAUCAGAUUGCAAAUUCUUUAAGACAUGGUUAUCUUUUAGGUCUCCAUACACACCUACUGCUUAACCCAGUAUUUAGAGCAUCAUGAACAGGCAUCUGAUGUUUAUCACUUGUAAUUAUUUAGUAUAAUAAAUAUAAAAAAUAUGAGCAUUAUGUUAUGCUAGACCCUCUGAGUCUUAAAGAGGUGAGUACCAUGAUACUCCCUGUCUUCAAGAGGGUUGAUCUAAGGAAGGUUGGGAAAUGAGUCCAUAUAAUUGUAACACCAUGGAGAACAAAUGAGCUCUCCCAAAACUUCACGGGGUCAGGUAGGUUAAAUGUGUGGGGCACCUCCAUCUUGAGGAUACGAGAAUCAUUUCGUGGAGAAGCGGCAGGCGAGCUAGGCCUCCAAGGGGAAGAGGGGCCUCACUAAACAGUGUUGAGGGUGGGAGACACGUCCAUGCAAGGCGAGUGGGCAGGAAGAACAGGAUAUGCUUGGUUCAGAGUAGCCUUUCCAGUGUCAAAUGAGAUUUCAGAUUUAGGAAGACAGGUUUAAAAGGUAUCAGAGAGCAUUUUGAUUGGUAGACUUGUCUGUUCAGGUGGGCUGUUGUUCAUCAUCAGAGAGUAUUGUUGACUCUGGAAGUUUUUAAUCAGUUGGUGUUUCUACUUCCAUGAAGACCUCAUCACUGAGCAGUAAUGGAGAGCUGUGAUGGGCCAGGUUGGUAAAGAAGAAGGAUAUUGGGAGAUAGAGCAAUAGGUUGUGUAUGAGGUGAAUUCAAGUCAGAAAGGUAAGUGGUCUUGUUGGGGGGCAGAAGUACACAGGCAGUCAAGCCAAUGCCAGGUCAUUGGGAACUGAGGUUGAAGAAAACCCCAGUACCUUGAAGAAACUGACCAGCUUAUCAAGGCAAAGCCCCUGGCAUGGUCAAUAACAUAGGUUCCAAGAUACUAGACUUGAGUUAUAAGGAAAAGGUUAAGGUGACAGACGUAGUAGUGGGCUGCAAAUGAAAAAUCGGAAAAAUAGGAGGAGAAGGGAGCUAAUAUUCAGAUACUUGUCUGAGUGUCUUGAAGCUCUUCCUGUUCAACAAAGAAUUCAAAUAGAAAAUCUAGUAAACUUCAUAGAUAAUUCCACCUGUAAAGGAGCCCAGGCUGUUACUACAUGUAAUAUGGAUAAACAUGUGUUUUCUUUCAUUCUCAAUUAACUAAAAAAAAGUUGUUUUGAUAAUCAAAACCAAAGUACUAUAAGAUUGUUGUAAGAAGUAAUAAUAUAUCACAUACCCAAUAAGUGUGCUCUUUAAAAGAAGUGAUUUUAGGAUUAUAGGUUUGACACGUCAUUGAAUUCACCUCGUAAUAACCAAUGUUUGUGCUCUGUUCUUCCAUCCAUCCACUGCUCAGGAUAAACCUAACACUUGAAAAUAGAGCCCUUUACUUUUUUUUACUCAUGGUAUGAAAAUGUUUAUUGCAAUUAAAUUCACCAAUGCAUCAAGACAUAGUGAGCAGGCAUGACUUUAGGAGCAUGCAAGUUAUAUUUCACUACAGAAAUGUUAUCCGCUGUAUUGAAUUCCAUCUAUUUUAACUUCUUUUUUCUUUUUAGGGCCACACUCAAAGCAUAUGUAGGUUCCCAGGCUAGGGGUCAAAUCAGAGCUACAGCUGCCAGCCACAGCCACAGCCACAGCAAUGCAGGAUCUGAGCUGCAUCUGCAACCUACACCACAGCUCACAGCAAUGCCAGAUCCUUAAUCCACUGAAUGAGGCCAGGGAUCGAACCCGAAACUUCAUGGUCCCUAGUUGGAUUCAUUUCCACUGCGCCAUGACGGGAACUCCUCAAUAUAUUUUAAAACAUCCUUUAGAAAGUGUGUGCAUGUUCAUGACCCUUCCUGGUCACCUCACCCCUAGUGGUCGCUCCAUACAGUGAACCCAUGUAGGAAACAUCACCUAUCCCUACUGGUUUACAUUAUAGUAUUUUUAUAAUUAUAUGUUGCUUUUAAACAGAUUACAUAUUUUUAUUGAGGAUAGUCGAAAACUUGUAUGUCUUUUCAUCUUUUUUUAACAGCUCUGUUAAUUUACCUAAAAUAAAAUUCACCAGUUUUAACUGUACAAUUUAAUAGUCCUUUUUUUUUUCUUUUUUUUUUCUUUUUUUUGUAUUUUUUGCCAUUUCUUGGGCUGCUCCUGCGGCAUAUGGAGGUUCCCAGGCUAGGGGUCUAAUCGGAGCUGUAGGUGCCAACCUAUGCCAGAGCCACAGCAACGCAGGAUCCGAGCCACGUCUGUGACCUACACCACAGUUCACGGCAAUGCCGGAUCCUUCACCCACUGAGCAAGGGCAGGGAUCGAACCCGCAACCUCAUGGUUCCUAGUUGGAUUCACUAACCACUGCACCAUGACGGGAACUCGUAAUAGUCCUUUUUUGUAUAAUGAUUUUUAUUUUUUUCCAUUAUAGCUGGUUUACAGUGUUUUGUCAAUUUUCUACUGUACAGCAUGGGGAUCCAGUUACACAUACUGUGAUAUAUAUACACAAUGGAAAACUACAUAGCCGUAAAAAAGAAUGAAUAAUGCCAUUUGCAGCAACAUAGAUGGAAGUAGAGACUCUCAUACUGAGUGAAGUAAGUCAGAAAGAGGAAGGCAGUUACCAUAUGAUAUCACUUAUAUCUGGAAUCUAAUAUAUGGCACAAUUUAACAGGUUUUAAUAAGUCUUCAUAGUUAUAUAAACCUACCUCCCCAAUGAUGAUAAUGUAAAACAUUUUCAGUAAACCCCUUCCACUAUCCUGGCCUGUAGCAACACUGAGAAGUUUCUGCCAUUAUAGUUUGCCUCUUUCUAGAAUUUUUUAUACACAGAAUCAUCGAUUAUAUGGCACAUUGGCUUUCAGUUCCCAUAAUGCAUUUGCAAUUCAUUCAGAUUCUUUCAUACCUCAGUAUUACCAUCCAG
rnacentral:lncRNA from 1 species